rnacentral:hammerhead_ribozyme from 2 species
AGCCGAAACCGUCCAGCGAGGGCGGUCUGCAGGGACUGACCGCCCUGUACUGAUGAUGGUAGGUCGAG